ACUUCCUCAUUGUUUCGGUUUCUCUCUUGCGCUGCAUCUUAUUCCAGUGAGUUGCAGUCUGCUGCAUCUCUGUUUCUCUCCAUUUUUACAUUUCUGUUCUUCCUCUGCAAGUCAGCGAGCAGUACCUCUCAUUCCUCCAUUUUUCGACUGUUUCUGUUUUGGCCGUGAGGUUUGGGUUGCGUUUGUGUGUCUGGGUGUUGCGCGUGGUGAGUCUUCGGGUAAAUCUCUCUCUUUGCUCUCAGGUCGAUGCCUUCCCCAUACUUUAUUUCUCUGGUUUUAAGCAAUUCCGACUUUGAAUUGUUCUAGGUGGUGCCGUUGUUUUCUUCCCCACUCCAAAACCCCACUUUGACGCUCAUUUCUCUUACAGUCCACUUUGUUUCACUUCUGUCCGCAUUGUGUUUAAUCUCCUUGCUGUGGCUUGGCAUUGAACUCUGUUGAGCGGGUAAGGAGGCCGUGAACCAUACUUUUCAUGGUGACGAGACUAAUAGAGGUCAUUUUCAAGGCUUAGAUAAUACGCUACAAGAGUCAGGUA